rnacentral:rRNA from 1 species
GACGAACGCUGGCGGCGUGCCUAAUACAUGCAAGUAGAACGCUGAAGAGAGGAGCUUGCUCUUCUUGGAUGAGUUGCGAACGGGUGAGUAACGCGUAGGUAACCUGCCUGGUAGCGGGGGAUAACUAUUGGAAACGAUAGCUAAUACCGCAUGAAAUUGCUUAUCGCAUGAUAAUUGAUUGAAAGAUGCAAUUGCAUCACUACCAGAUGGACCUGCGUUGUAUUAGCUAGUUGGUGAGGUAACGGCUCACCAAGGCGACGAUACAUAGCCGACCUGAGAGGGUGAUCGGCCACACUGGGACUGAGACACGGCCCAGACUCCUACGGGAGGCAGCAGUAGGGAAUCUUCGGCAAUGGGGGGAACCCUGACCGAGCAACGCCGCGUGAGUGAAGAAGGUUUUCGGAUCGUAAAGCUCUGUUGUAAGAGAAGAACGGGUGUGAGAGUGGAAAGUUCACACUGUGACGGUAUCUUACCAGAAAGGGACGGCUAACUACGU